rnacentral:rRNA from 1 species
GCAUAACGCGAAGAACCUUACCUACUCUUGUAUCCUCCUUUUGACUUUCAGAGAUGAUUGUCUUCGGUUCGGCCGGGGGAGUGACAGGUGCUGCAUGGCUGUCGUCAGCUCGUGUCGUGAGAUGUUGGGUUAAGUCCCGCAACGAGCGCAACCCUCAUCGUAUGUUGCCAUCAGGUAAUGCUGGGCACUCGUGCGAGACCGCCGGUGAUAAGCCGGAGGAAGGUGGGGACGACGUCAAGUCAUCAUGGCCCUUACGAGUAGGGCUACAAACGUGCUACAAUGGUGGUGACAGUGAGCAGCCACUCCGCAAGGAGGAGCUAAUCUCUAAAAGCCAUCUCAGUUCAGAUUGUCCUCUGCAACUCGAGGGCAUGAAGUUGGAAUCGCUAGUAAUCGUGGAUCAGCAUGCCACGGUGAAUACGUUCCCCGGGUCUUGUACACACCG